ACGCUGAGUGUGUAGAGCAUCUGACUUUUAAUCAGAGGGUCAGAGGUUCGAAUCCUCUAUGGCUCA
rnacentral:tRNA from 1 species